GCCGAGCGGGAAGGUUGGUUUCAGCAAAGCCAUGUCCAACAAAUGGAUCCGUCUGGAUAAAGCUCAUGAGGGAGGACCAAGAGUCUUUAAAACCGUGGAAACGAUUGAGGAUACAGUAAGGGACAAACUACAGCUGGUGCAGAAGGGACUGUCGGCAAAACUAGAGGACAAAGAGAAGAAUGAACUCAAGAAACGUAAACUGCUAUCGGAAGUGACGGUUAAGUCAUACUGGAUCACUAAAGGCAGCAGCU